rnacentral:tRNA from 1 species
AGCAGAGUGGCGCAGCGGAAGCGUGCUGGGCCCAUAACCCAGAGGUCGAUGGAUCGAUGCAUCCAUCUCCAGCAA